UACGGGGGGGGGCAAGCGUUGUUCGGAAUUACUGGGCGUAAAGGGCUCGUAGGCGGCCAACUAAGUCAGACGUGAAAUCCCUCGGCUUAACCCGGGAACUGCGUCCGAUACUGGCAGGCUUGAAUCCGGGAGAGGGAUGCGGAAUUCCAGGUGUAGCGGUGAAAUGCGUAGAUAUCUGGAGGAACACCGGUGGCGAAGGCGGCAUCCUGGACCGGCAUUGACGCUGAGGCGCGAAAGCCAGGGGAGCAAACGGG
rnacentral:rRNA from 1 species